rnacentral:misc_RNA from 1 species
GAUGAAGAACGUAGCGAAAUGCGAUAAGUAGUGUGAAUUGCAGAAUUCAGUGAAUCAUCGAAUCUUUGAACGCACAUUGCGCCCUCUGGUAUUCCGGAGGGCAUGCCUGUCUGAGCGUCAUUGUCAACCCUCAAGCUCAGCUUGCUGUUGGGUCCCCGUCGUUGCUUUAACGGCGGACCCGAAAGGUAAUGGCAGAGUCCGUGAGACCCUAGACGCAGCGAGCUUCUAGCACGCGUCUGGACGUUUUUCGGGCUCGGUCUUAACUAGAUGAUAACUUCCGAUUGACCUCAGAUCAGGUAGGGAUACCCGCUGAACUUAAGCAUAUCAAUAAGCGGAGGA